ensembl:piRNA 21ur-9339 ncRNA
UAGGGUAGGGUUUCGCAUUAU